rnacentral:rRNA from 1 species
GAUGAACGCUGGCGGCGUGCCUAAUACAUGCGAGUCGAGCGAACAGACGAGGAGCUUGCUCCUCUGACGUUAGCGGCGGACGGGUGAGUAACACGUGGAUAACCUACCUAUAAGACUGGGAUAACUUCGGGAAACCGGAGCUAAUACCGGAUAAUAUAUUGAACCGCAUGGUUCAAUAGUGAAAGACGGUUUUGCUGUCACUUAUAGAUGGAUCCGCGCCGCAUUAGCUAGUUGGUAAGGUAACGGCUUACCAAGGCAACGAUGCGUAGCCGACCUGAGAGGGUGAUAGGCCACACUGGAACUGAGACACGGUCCAGACUCCUACGGGAGGCAGCAGUAGGGAAUCUUCCGCAAUGGGCGAAAGCCUGACGGAGCAACGCCGCGUGAGUGAUGAAGGUCUUCGGAUCGUAAAACUCUGUUAUUAGGGAAGAACAAAUGUGUAAGUAACUAUGCACGUCUUGACGGUACCUAAUCAGAAAGCCACGGCUAACUACGUG